UAAGCAUAUCAAUAAGCGGAGGAAAAGAAACCAACAGGGAUUGCCCUAGUAACGGCGAGUGAAGCGGCAACAGCUCAAAUUUGAAAUCUGGCUCCUUUGGGGUCCGAGUUGUAAUUUGUAGAGGGUGCUUUGGCGUUGGUUGUGGUCUAAGUUCCUUGGAACAGGACGUCACAGAGGGUGAGAAUCCCGUACGUGGCCGCCAGCCUCCGCCGUGUAAAGCCCCUUCGAUGAGUCGAGUUGUUUGGGAAUGCAGCUCUAAAUGGGAGGUAAAUUUCUUCUAAAGCUAAAUAUUUGCCAGAGACCGAUAGCGCACAAGUAGAGUGAUCGAAAGAUGAAAAGCACUUUGGAAAGAGAGUCAAAAAGCACGUGAAAUUGUUGAAAGGGAAGCGCUUGCAGCUAGACGUGCCUUGGGUUGAUCAGCCGGACUUUUGCCCGGUGCACUCUUCCUUUGGCAGGCCAGCAUCAGUUUGGGCGGCUGGAUAAAGGUCUGUUAAACGUGACUUCCUUCGGGGAGAGCUUAUAGGGCAGACGACAUGCAGCCAACCUGAACUGAGGUCCGCGCAUCUGCUAGGAUGCUGGCGUAAUAGCUGUAAGCGGCCCGUCUUGAAACACGGACCAAGGAGUCUAACAUCUAUGCGAGUGUUUGGGUGUCAAGCCCGAGCGCGUAAUGAAAGUAAACGGAGGUGGGAACCUUUUAGGUGCACCAUCGACCGAUCCUGAUGUCUUCGGAUGGAUUUGAGUAAGAGCAUAGCUGUUGGGACCCGAAAGAUGGUGAACUAUGCCUGAAUAGGGUGAAGCCAGAGGAAACUCUGGUGGAGGCUCGCAGCGGUUCUGACGUGCAAAUCGAUCGUCAAAUUUGGGCAUAGGGGCGAAAGACUAAUCGAACUAUCUAGUAGCUGGUUCCUGCCGA
rnacentral:rRNA from 1 species